CGGAGGGCGCGGGGCCCCGCCCCUCCCCCUCUGCGCCAGCCCGGCCGCGGGCCCGUCGGGAGGCCACUCACCAUGUUCACUUCGGAGACCAUGUCUAUGCUGGCGACAUCGAUCCGCAUGCCCACGUCCACAGGGGGCCCUGCGGGGAGGGAAGGAGACCUAGAUCCGUACGGGUUACAGGUUGAAAAAAAGCUGAAGCGUUACCUCCGAAGUCCGGCCGCAAGCGGAUGUCGUAUCCCUUGAGCAGUCUGUCCACCGUCUCUUUCACGUAGGACAUGUUGCUGGGCUCGUUGGCGCUGAAGGGGGAAGCGGGGACCGUGUUGAGCACGAGCGCUAAGUGCGAGCACGGAGAUGGAGACGGGCACCCUGACCCCACAGCCCAGCUCCAUGAUCCAGCAGGCAUGCAAGCAGGAACACACCGAGGGGGGAAAGAGAGAGAGAGAGAGAGAGAGAGAGAGAGAGACGUUCAACAACAGCAGCUCACCUGUGUGCACAACAGACCAUGGCAAUCAUCACAGGGAAAGAGAGGAGCCCCAGACUCUCUCGGCUGUGUGCUGUCCACAUUACUAACUCUGAUCCAAGAAUGGUCUUUUCUGCGAAGAUUCAAGGAAUGCAACUUAGUCGGCGGCAGGGCAGUAAUCCCCGAAUGGACCUGCGCAUGCGCACGCGGGGCUCACUACCAAAAAAGACACCUUGCGCCUUGCAAACAGUAUUCCUAGUGGAACAGGCAACAGAUUUCAAUCCCCUUAAAGUUCCUGUUGGUGGUGUUCCACGUCCUCCGAGUGGUCGGAGAUCGCCUGUUCCUUCCCUGCUGCGGAUCCUGGACGCAUUUGCCUGCUGAGGUUUCUUUGAGCAUUAGAGGCACGCGAUUUAAGGGAAGCAAGCGAUGAGGCAGCAGCUCUGGGCAGGCAACCCUUUUUCUAGUGCCAUCUGCCGCAAGUCCCACUUUUUUUUCCCCCUAGGUUUUGAGAGAGAGAAAGAGCAUGAGCAAGCAGGAGGACAAGCAGAGGGAGAGGGAACAGAAGCAGACUCUGCACGGAGAAAGGAGCCCCACAGGGGUAUGGGGCUCCAUCCCACAACCCUGAGAUCAUGACCUGAGCCAAGACCAAAAGUUGAAUGCUUAACACACUGAGCCACACAGGCACCCCCCCCCCAAAUGUCUUUUUUAUUUUGUGUUUUUCAGCUCUUCUUAUUCAAAUAUUAUGAUGUGGACUUUGAGGACAAAAUUUAUGUCAUGUCAUAGAUCCAAGUUAUAUCAUGUCAUAACUAUAGAUCAUGUCAUAGAUCCAACAUUUCUACCUCUUUUUUAAACUCAUAUUUAAUUAAACUUCAUGCUGUAACAACUUUGUAAAUUAUCUUAAAUAAAAAAAGUAAAUUUAUGUUUUAUUCUUUA